rnacentral:rRNA from 1 species
UACGGGGGGGGCAAGCGUUGUUCGGAAUUACUGGGCGUAAAGGGCUCGUAGGUGGCCAACUAAGUCAUGCGUGAAAUCCCUCGGCUUAACCGGGGAACUGCGUCUGAUACUGGAUGGCUUGAGUUUGGGAGAGGGAUGCGGAAUUCCAGGUGUAGCGGUGAAAUGCGUAGAUAUCUGGAGGAACACCGGUGGCGAAGGCGGCAUCCUGGACCGGUAUUGACACUGAGGCGCGAAAGCUAGGGGAGCGAACGGG